GACGAACGCUGGCGGUGUGCUUAACACAUGCAAGUCGAACGGAAAGGCCCUGCUUUUGUGGGGUGCUCGAGUGGCGAACGGGUGAGUAACACGUGAGUAACCUGCCCUUGACUUUGGGAUAACUUCAGGAAACUGGGGCUAAUACCGGAAAGGAGCUCCUGCUGCAUGGUGGGGGUUGGAAAGUUUCGGCGGUUGGGGAUGGACUCGCGGCUUAUCAGCUUGUUGGUGGGGGAGUGGCUUACCAAGGCUUUGACGGGUAGCCGGCCUGAGAGGGUGACCGGCCACAUUGGGACUGAGGUACGGCCCAGACUCCUACGGGAGGCAGCAGUGGGGAAUAUUGCACAAUGGGCGGAAGCCUGAUGCAGCAACGCCGCGUGCGGGAUGACGGCCUUCGGGUUGUAAACCGCUUUCGCCUGUGACGAAGCGUGAGUGACGGUAAUGGGUAAAGAAGCACCGGCUAACUACGUG
rnacentral:rRNA from 1 species